rnacentral:rRNA from 1 species
UACGUAGGGUGCGAGCGUUGUCCGGAAUUAUUGGGCGUAAAGAGCUCGUAGGCGGCCUGUCGCGUCGGUUGUGAAAGCCCGGGGCUUAACCCCGGGUCUGCAGUCGAUACGGGCAGGCUAGAGUUCGGUAGGGGAGAUCGGAAUUCCUGGUGUAGCGGCGAAAUGCGCAGAUAUCAGGAGGAACACCGGUGGCGAAGGCGGAUCUCUGGGCCGAUACUGACGCUGAGGAGCGAAAGCGUGGGGAGCGAACAGG